rnacentral:lncRNA from 1 species
GUUUGGGUUCAGAGCUAGAGAGUGAAUUUUAGAGAAAAGCAAUAGUUGUGACUCAUUCACUUUCUAAACUUUUACACAUAGUCAUUUACGAUAAUUGUUUUCUUUGCAAUGUAUCUUCUUAAGUCUCCCCCUUUGUAGUGUCCUAAUUACUGGUAGCACUUUUAGUUAUUCUAAUUUAUGCAAUUAAAGGUCUGUGACAAUGAAAACAUUUCCCCAAUUGCAUUUAUACUCUCAGGGUACCAGACCAGAAGAUCAGAUCGUAGAAGUUACUGGAGAAAAAGAUCAGCGGACAGCACUCUUGAACUACAUGCCAGGCCUCUUCUUCCUGGAACUCUAAUGGAUUUAAAUGGCUUAAGAGACGGGAUGAAUUGUUGAAAAUGGUUCUUUCAAAAGACCUCACGGAAGGCCAAAGACAAGACUCACUGAGGCCAAGGUAUACGUGUGCAUGUGCUAAUGUGUGGGGGCAGGGAUUGAUGGAGUCAACGAAAUGUGCCCCAUCUGCAUCUUUGACAGGAAAAAGAGAGAAUGGGUGAAUUCCAAUUUUCAGCAUGAAUCAAGAAUGUCACCGAUGAAGUUUUUGAAUGCUGUGCUCCUAAUCUCAUUUUCCUGUAAGCAUCCUCCAGAGACUUCGGUGAAGGAUGAUGCAAACUGUGUUUCUUCAGCAUGUGAGCACCAUCAGCCAUGAGUGUGGCAGCUCCAGAAUGUCUAUACCAGAGUGGCUGAGAGUCAGCAACUUGGCUGGAAGCUACACUUGAAUAGCAAACAAACCACUUUUACUUAGUUUCCAUGUCUAUUUGGUACCUUGGAGUACAGUGAUGAGUUUUACUAGAUGUGGACUUUCCAGGAAUAUAGCCAAGGUCGUCACCAUGAAAGUAUGAAACUUUAGUCAUUUACCCAAGGGGAUUCAUGGACAUAUAUUAAGAAUUUUCUUUAAUGGACUGUGUUUAUAGAACACCUGGUCAGGACGGAAAUGAGGCCAGGGAACUAAAGGGGUAGAAGUCUGAAGAGGAAUGGUUUUGCAUGGGAAAACUGUGCCAGGUCUAAAACUGGGCUGAACACUAUUUGUCCCCAACUCUCUGGCCCGGUCCUCAUAGUUCUUUCUGUGAUCCCUGCGUGGUGAAUACUCCUUUUCUGCUUUCACUGGCUUUGGCCCCUCAUGGAUAGAAUUAGAUGUUCUGCAUGGCAAACUGUGGGAAGAGAGGCCUCCAGUGUUUAGAGUGAUAUUAUCAUGUGUACCACUACUAUUAUACAUACUAAAGGUAUUCAGACAGGUGGCUUGUCUCUGGGCUUUAUAUAGAUCUCUGUCAAGCUAGAAGAAAAAUGUCACUAAAAUAAUUCAAGACAAUUUUUGUACUUUCCAACGAUGUUCAGGUAACAGCUGAAAAUAUUCUCACUUAUUUGACUUGAGGAAGAAAAUUCGAACGAGGAAAAUCAUCAAGGAUUUGCUAAAGUCCCUUCUGUAAAAUCUUCCUUAAGGAAGUUUAAACACUCCUAUUCUCUCUUCUCUCAUUCUUUUGAACUCACUGCAUGUAUUGAUAUCACUGACUUGGUUUGUUUUCUAGAAUAUAUGUAAAAGUAAGAGUGUGUAUAUAUAACCCAUUAUGUACAUAACAAGAACAGUUCCUUCCAAUAUUCAAAUUUCAUGACUCUAGAUCACUACUGUGCAUUCUAAGAAGGUCAGGGACUCAUGGAGACCAAAGGGUCAAUCCUGGUCAUUGUUGUCUUACGAGAGAAAAACAAGAGCCUUCUCGGGCCCCGUGUUCUCUAGCUCUUGAUGUGGCCUCUUCGGUAUCACUGGCAGCCCCACAGUCUGGUGGUCAGUGUGUCGCAGCAGAGGGUCAUUCACCGAUGCUGCUUAUCCACAGCACCUUUUCUGUGGGGAAUGGGGGCCUCUAUUCUGCUAGUAGACUCAGGUGUGUCACUCUGUGAUACUCUUAAGACUGGGUUCAUUGAGGACAGGUCUCUUUGCUAACAUUCACACAAAGUCAUUGUUUGGAAGCACAGUCCUGCUUCUGAAAUGCUAGGUCUGGAGGAGUUCCAGCAGCAGCCACAUGGGCCCUCUCCUCAGAUCUUGGCUCCAACAUGGGAUACUCAGCAGUGAGGCUAGAGAUCAGAUGUCCUUCAUUCCUUGACCACUAAGCCUAGAGGAUGGAGAGAAAGAAGUGGAACAUCUGCACUCUUCAACCUGAGUCCACUCCAACUCCAUCCCACAAGGUGAGGCAAGUUCCACCAGCCUCUCCAGCCUCCUGUCUAAUAUGAUCAGAGAAAUCCUCUUCUCUCUGGACUCAAGACCCAUCCCUGUUUCCUUCCCUAAGGCGACAGGUGGCUAUAGCACCCUUUGUCUUGGCCCUGCAGCCACCAAUACACAACCAUAAAAAUAAAGUAGUCCAAUUAUUAGCCUUCGCUGUGUCCUGUGUCCUCCUCCCAAGAGAUCUGCGGAACCUUCAUUUAUCACCUGAAUGGGAGCCUCCUCCCCAUGCUUUCCCAGGGGGCAGCCAUAGGACCUCACAGAGAUGUUACUGUGUAUCACUCUAGACUCUUUUCCUAUAUACAUAGAACAAUAAAGGAAUAGAUAGGGACACAUAGACACUUAAGGAAAUAGAAUUAUGUAUGGAGAUAGAAACAUAAAAAUAAAUAGCACAGACAUAUAGAUAUAGAAAACUGGUACUUUUACAUAAAAACUUAAUCUCACCAUAUGUAGUCUAUAAAUUUUUUUUUCACUCAACCUAUGUCAGGGACAGGAGUCCAUACAGGAUUCACACACAGGGAUAUCUCAUUAGAUUAAUAUUCCAUUGUAUGGCAGUACCACAAUUUAUCCAUUCAUAACCCUACUGAUAAACAUUUAGAUUGUUUCCAGUUUUUAUCCACUGCAAACAAUGCUGCAAUGAACAUCCUUAGACAUAGAGAUCUCUAAGCAUAUGUGAAAUAUAUUCUUUUAAUGUUGUAUUUUAAAAUACAUGUCUUGAAUUUCACUUCCUGAGUGGAAAGAUACUUUGAAAAACUUUGUAGAAACUGCCAAAUUUCCCUCUGACAUGCCAUACCAGUUUAUACUCCCAACAACAUAGAGUUUCUUUUCCUCUCAUUAAUACUUUAUGUUAUGAAUAUUUUAAAUAUCUACCAACAUAUUGGGGCAAAAAUAGUAUCCUCUCAUUGGUUUGUCUUUCCUUGAUCAAUAGUUAGAUCUGCUAUAUUUUCAUCAGUGUGUUUAUUUUUCCACAAAUUGUCUGAUUCAUAUUAUUUGCCAAUUUAUUCAUUUGUUUCUUAUUUACUUAUAAAGGCUCUUUUUCUAUUAAAGAUAUGUUAAACAUGUAGAAAUUAUUUUCUCUGUGGUAUCCUUUGCCCUACUGAGGUUUUGAGCUUUCAUGUUAUUGUGUCUGAGAAUCUUAUGUUUUAUGUCAUGGACCUUCGUUUAAUAGAAAGGGUGUCUCACCUAACAAAACCAAAAAUGGCAGUAAUUAAUUUAGUGUUCUUUUUGGUUGAAGAAUUCUAAUGCCAAGGAGUCAUGUUUAAUUCAGGAGCGCUUUUAAAUGAAUUUGCAUUUCAUUUGUCACAAGAUUAGCUACAUACUUCUUUGAAAUAUAAUAAUACAUUUAUGGUUGGAAGUGAUUUAGUCAGUUUAUAGGCAACAUCCUUCCUGUGCAGCAAUGAAUUCAUGAGCCCUGUGAACAUCAUUAUUUUAGAAAAAGAAUUGGAUAUAAUAUAUACUUCUUAUAUAUAGAGAGAUCCAAUCAUAUACCACAUUCAGGAGUGGGGAGGACAAGGGACCACAGAAUCCUGAAACGGCAUCUGAGCCAUCAAAAGAAUGUGCUCACUACAGUUUCAGUGCUGAAUGUUUUAUUUUACUUCAAUUCUUUAAAUAUGGUUUCUCCAUAUACAGGGUGUACGGUAGUUCUAAAAACGCGAAUGACUAAUUAACAAAGUGCAGACCAGGAAAACACAGACUCUGUGAGAUUUACCAAAUUGGCUCCAAGACUACCCUGAAGUCACCCUUUAAACUGAGAAAUAGUUAUAUCUGAUAGACUCUGUUGCUGCAAAUAAAGGGAAAUGGGAUGGCUCUUUCUGAAAAAAGACUUUGGGCCAAUCAAAAAGAUACUAUCAAUGAUUAUUCUAGCAAACACUUUUGUAUCUAAGUGGUUUAUAGACAUAAUCUCAUUUAAAGCAACAACCAUGAGAAAUAGGUAUUUUGAGUGUGCCUCUUUACUACCGAAGCACAAAGAAGAUAAGUAAGACAUUGAAGUGAUUGGAGGAACUCUCUCCAGAGCCUGACGACUUCUCUCUACAGCAGGGAACUGCCUCCAUUGCUGAUGUUGGAUUAAACAGAACAGCCUGUGCAGUUAGUUCAUGGAUUCCAUAAAGGGACUGGACCUUAAUGAAGACGUUCCUGACAUGGGUUUGGGGUAAGAAGGAGAGUCUGUUUGCAAAAUUAUUAUUGAUAAUAACUAGAAUUUAAAUGUAUAUCUUUUCUUGGUUAAUUAAAU